UACGUAGACCUCGAGCGUUAUCCGGAUUUACUGGGCGUAAAGGGUGCGUAGGCGGGUUUUUAAGUCAGGGGUGAAAUCCCGAGGCUCAACCUCGGAACUGCCUUUGAUACUGGAAAUCUUGAGUCUGGGAGAGGUGAGUGGAACUGCGAGUGUAGAGGUGAAAUUCGUAGAUAUUCGCAAGAACACCGGUGGCGAAGGCGGCUCACUGGCCCGGAACUGACGCUGAGGCACGAAAGCGUGGGGAGCAAACAGG
rnacentral:rRNA from 1 species